UUAAGUUAUUAAGGGCAUAGAGUGGAUGCCUUGGUGCUAGAAGGCGAUGAAAGACGUGAUAAGCUGCGAUAAGCUUCGGUUAGGUGCAAACAACCUUUAACCCGGAGAUUUCUGAAUGGGGUAACCUGAUACCGAUAAACGGUAUCGUUCCUUCCUGAAUAAAAUAAGGAAGGAUACGCAAAACCUGCUGAAUUGAAACAUCUUAGUAAGCAGAGGAAAAGAAAGAGAAUUCGAUUCCGUAAGUAGCGGCGAGCGAAAACGGACCAGCCCAAACCGGCAUCUUUGAUGUCGGGGUUGUAGGACCCCGCUGUGGGACCUUUGAAGAUAGGUGAACACUUUGGAAAGAGUGGACAAAGAGCGUGACAUCCGCGUAACCGAAAUCUGAAAAGGCCCUAGGGAGUUCCUGAGUAGCACGGGACACGUGAAACCCCGUGUGAAUCUGCGCAGACCACUGCGUAAGGCUAAAUACUAACUAGCGACCGAUAGUGAACAAGUACCGUGAGGGAAAGGUGAAAAGUACCCCUGUGAGGGGAGUGAAAUAGAACCUGAAACCAUGUGCCUACAAGGUGUAAGAGCUGGGAUUUAUCCUGGUGAUUGCGUGCCUUUUGCUUAAUGAGUCUACGAGUUAGUGUCUGUGGCAAGCUUAAGUCCUUCUGGGACGCAGGCGUAGCGAAAGCAAGUCCGAAUAGGGCGAUUUAGUUGCAGGCGCUAGACCCGAAGCGGAGGCGACCUACCCAUGGCCAGGUUGAAGCGACAGUAAAAUGUCGUGGAGGACCGAACCGAUGUGUGUUGAAAAACGCUCGGAUGAGCUGUGGGUCGGAGUGAAAGGCUAUUCAAGCCCCGUGAUAGCUGGUUCUCCUCGAAAUGCAUUUAGGUGCAGCGUUGCGUGUUGAUGAGUGGGGGUAGAGCACUGAAAGGGCUAGGGGGCAUACCCGCCUACCAACCCCUAUCAAACUCCGAAUACCAUUCAAUAGAGCGCAGCAGUGAGACAGUGGGGGAUAAGCUUCAUUGUCGAAAGGGAAACAGCCCAGAUCAGCAGCUAAGGUGCCAAAAUCAUGCUAAGUGGAAAGGAGGUGGGGUUUCUUAGACAGUGAGGAUGUUGGCUUAGAAGCAGCCACCAUUUAAAAAAUGCGUAAUAGCUUACUCAUCGAGAGACCCUGCGCCGAAAAUGAUUGGCGAUAAGCAUGAUACCGAAGCUCUGGAUGUCAGAAUCCUGCGGGAAUCUGGCGUGGUAGAGGAGCAUUGUCAUCUGCAUUGAAGCGGAAAGGCGACUGACCGUGGAGUGAUGACAAGAGAGUAUGUAGACAUGAGUAACGAUAAGCCGGGUGAAAUCCCCGGCCGCCGUAAACCCAAGGUUUCCCGGGCAACGUUUUUCGUCCCGGGGUUAGUCGGGACCUAACCCGAGGCCGAUAGGCGUAGGGGAUGGUAAGCUGAUUAAUAUUUCAGCACCUGCAAAGUGAAGGGGACGCUUACUGGAUUGCAACCAGGUUAUUGAAUUCCGAGGGGAGGCCUUGUGCCGAACCGUAUUGCAUGAAUGUGAGCCAAGAAAAGCCGACACGACUAAAAGCAGCCCGUACCGUAAACCGACACAGGUGGGUGGGUAGAGUAUACCAAGGCGCAAGAGUGAAACCUGGUCAAGGAACUCGGCAAAAUAGCCCCGUAACUUCGGGAGAAGGGGUGCCUGUCUUCGGACAGGUCGCAGUGAAAUGGGUCAACCGACUGUUUAGCAAAAACACAGCAUUCUGCUAAGGCGCAAGCCGAUGUAUAGGAUGUGACACGUGACCAAUGCCAAAAGAUUACGAUGAGAUGUUAGCACUUUAGUGCGAAGCUUUGAGUCUAAGUCCUGGUGAAUGUCGGCCGUAACUAUAACGGUCCUAAGGUAGCGAAAUUCCUUGUCGGGUAAGUUCCGACCUGC
rnacentral:rRNA from 1 species